rnacentral:rRNA from 1 species
UAGGGAAUAUUGGGCAAUGGAGGCAACUCUGACCCAGCCAUGCCGCGUGCAGGAAGAAGGCGCUCAGCGUUGUAAACUGCUUUUAUCGGGGAAGAAACGACCCUUGCGAGGGGCAUUGACGGUACCCGAUGAAUAAGCACCGGCUAACUCCGUGCCAGCAGCCGCGGUAAUACGGAGGGGGCAAGCGUUGUCCGGAUUUAUUGGGUUUAAAGGGUGCGCAGGCGGGAAGGUUAGUUCGUGGUGAAAGACGAUCGCUCAACGAUUGCAGUGCCAUGAAUACUGCCUUUCUUGAAUCUGGUUGAGGCCGGUGGAAUUGACCGUGUAGCGGUGAAAUGCAUAGAUAUGGUCAAGAACUCCAAUUGCGAAGGCAGCCGGCUGGGCCAGUAUUGACGCUCAGGCACGAGAGUGCGGGGAUCAAACA